CAGAAUUCGCCCUUCUUGGUCAUUUAGAGGAAGUAAAAGUCGUAACAAGGUUUCCGUAGGUGAACCUGCGGAAGGAUCAUUAUUGAAACGAACCUGUGGCAUUGAGGCAGUAGCUGUUUGUAUGUUUUUCUGCAUGCAAAAUGUGCACGUCUCUUUGCUGCUAAUUCAUUCUAACCUUUCCACCUGUGCAUAUAAUGUAGACAUUUGGCGAUGUCUAUGUAUUUUUUAUAUACAUUUAUGAUUGUAUGUCUAAAGAAAGUGAAAUGAAUGUUAAAAAAUAAAUAUAACUUUCAACAACGGAUCUCUUGGCUCUCGUAUCGAAGAAGAACGCAGCGAAAUGCGAUAAGUAAUGUGAAUUGCUGAAUUCAGUGAAUCAUCGAAUCUUUGAACGCAUUUUGCGCUCCUUGGUAUUCCAUGGAGCAUGCCUGUUUGAGUGUCAUUUAAACUAUCAAAACCUUUUUUCCUACACACUUAGUGGAUUGAGGUUUUGGAUUUGGGAAUUUGCUGGCUUUGUAAAAAAGCUUUAGCUGUCUUGAAAUAUAUAUUAGUGGAGGAUAAUCAAAUUAUGUACUCUAGAUGGUGUGAUAAGAUUUAUCUAUGCCAGAAGAGUGUAAUGGUGAAUUGACUCUGCUAUAUAAUUGUCAUUGUACAAAGUACUUGACCUCAAAUCAGGUAGGACUACCCGCUGAACUUAAGCAUAUCAAUAAGCGGAGGA
rnacentral:rRNA from 1 species